UACGGAGGGUGCAAGCGUUGCUCGGAAUUAUUGGGCGUAAAGGGCAAGUAGGUGGUCUCAUUUGUCUGGGGUGAAAUCCUUGGGCUUAACUCAAGAAGUGCCCCAGAAACGGUGAGACUAGAGUCCUAGAGAGGGUCGUGGAAUACCCGGUGUAGCGGUGAAAUGCGUAGAGAUCGGGUGGAACACCAGAGGCGAAGGCGGCGACCUGGAUAGGUACUGACACUCAACUGCGAAAGCGUGGGGAGCAAAC
rnacentral:rRNA from 1 species